GCCCCAGUGGCGCAAUGGAUAGCGCUUUGGUCUUUUAAUCUGGAGGUUGAGGGUUCGAGUCGCUCCUGGGGUG
rnacentral:tRNA from 1 species